GACGAACGCUGGCGGCGUGCUUAACACAUGCAAGUCGAGCGGUAAGGCUCCUUCGGGAGUACACGAGCGGCGAACGGGUGAGUAACACGUGAGCAAUCUGCCCUUCACACAGGGAUAACUCCGGGAAACCGAAGCUAAUACCUGAUACGACCACUUCAGGCAUCUGAUGGUGGUGGAAAGUUCCGGCGGUGAAGGAUGAGCUCGCGGCCUAUCAGCUUGUUGGUGGGGUAACGGCCCACCAAGGCAACGACGGGUAGCCGGCCUGAGAGGGUGACCGGCCACACUGGGACUGAGACACGGCCCAGACUCCUACGGGAGGCAGCAGUGGGGAAUAUUGGACAAUGGGCGAAAGCCCGAUCCAGCAACGCCGCGUGAGGGAUGACGGCCUUCGGGUUGUAAACCUCUUUCAGCAGGGACGAAGCGCAAGUGACGGUACCUGCAGAAGAAGCACCGGCCAACUACGUGCCAGCCGCCGCAGUAACAC
rnacentral:rRNA from 1 species